AGUACUUACAAUUUUUCCACUACAUAAGUCAGCUUAAUUAUAUGAUACACUCUACGUGCUUUAUUUCCGAGCCACCGAUCAUUCAAGACUAGGGAGUUCUCUGGUGAAAUUCCAGCAGAUAUUUUUUACAUCUCCAUUUUUUUUUGAACGGUAUCUGUGGUGGACUCUUGAUAUUGUGUAACUGAAAGUAAUUUGAUGGAGUCCUCGAACCAAUUCCAUGAAUCAUUUCGGCAAGGUCUUACAGCUGGAUACGUUUUUGCUGCAACUUUUUUCAUAGUUAUAUACAUGUCCUAUUGUCUACCAGCACAACUUGUCAAGAACAGAGAAAGUAGAAGGGGUGGUUAUAAGAAAGCAACACAGAAGUGUAAAUUGCAGCAUCCGGAAUUGAAACGACAAAAAAUCCAAGAGGUUGUCUGUCCCUGUGCAUCCCACUGUUUUCACAAACUUUAUGUUAUUGUAUCCAGUAUGCAGAAAUGCUAGUGUGUCGAAUUGUUUUCAAGAAAACAUCCAAUUUUGCAUAGCAAAAUAUUGUGAUUUACAAAUUAAAGUGGUUUUUGAAAUAUAAUUGAGAAAGUAUUGACCAUCUCUA